rnacentral:tRNA from 1 species
AAAAGGGGGAUAUGGCGAAAUUGGUAGACCUAGUAAGAGGAAAAUCCGUCGACUUUAUAAAUCGUGAGGGUUCAAGU